CGCAUUCUUCCCUCGGUUCAGCACAGGUAAAGCGGUUACCCUCCCUCCCCGCCUCAUGGAUCACCAGCUCACGUCAUGUUUCCUUCUCUUUUCUUUGUGUGUGUGUUUAUUUAAGUUAUUUUUCUUCCUCCCCUUUUCUUUUCCGUCUCCCGCCCUCUUCUGCCAUGUAACUGGAGGGUGCGCUGAGUUGCAAACAGCUGGACUGUCAGGCUGCUUCUCUUCAGAUGUCCUCCUCUGCCUCCCCGCUCCCCCUUCUCCCCUCCCCUUUCCUUCCUUCAUUCUUUCCUUGGAGCACUGAGCACCACUUGGAAGCUUGAGAGAAA
rnacentral:lncRNA from 1 species